AGGCAGAAAAGUGGGUUUGAAAGGGCUCCACAGUGCUUCAGGAACUCCAACGAAUUAUACAUCUGGGAUUCCCUUGCCUGAUAAGAGGACACUAGAAUUGAUCCUUGACAAGCUUCAAAAGAAGACACUUAUGGUGUGUUUGCAGAGCCGGUUGAUCCAGAAGAGCUCUCCAAUUAUCAAGAUGUGAUUGAGCAUCCCAUGCACUUUGCCACUGUCAGGAAGAAGUUGGCAAAUGGAUCCUAUUCUACUUUGGAGCAAUUUGAGGUGCAUAAGAACUUCUCUUGAUUGUUUGUGAAUUUGUUAUUAGAGGAGCUUUUGUCUUUUGUUUGAGAUUUUUAUUGUUUUGGAAUGUUGUGUGAUCAUGAGCCUGCUUACAAUUCCCAGAAUUGAGUGAGAAUUGAAAUUGAACAUCAGGGACUGGCAGACUGCUUUCUCUCUCGGUUUCUUUUUUUAUUUGGUUACAUUCUCUCUCUUUUCGUUUAGUGGAUUCUUUAAGAUUGGGGAGCUUGUCAGCAAUGUGUCAGCAAAAAAUAUUCGUUGUUUGAAAUUAGAAUGUAAACCCUUUGGACUGGCUUUUUCAUAAUCAAUUACAAUGGUUAUACAUGAUAUUCAAGAAACAUGAUAAUGAACUUACUUUUCUACUAUGGGAUCCCUCUAGGAUCUAGUGCAUGAAAAUCUUGAUUUUUUUUCCUGACUGAGUAAAAAUUGCAAGACAAAAUAUACUGUAAC